CUGAUGUUGGAGACCGAAGAUAAACACAGAAAGGCUACUCUCUACUCUCCCAGCCUCCCACAUUGGGUCCCAGUAUCCUUGGGAGUGCCUGUGGCUGAAGAAGUCCGCUAGAGCUUCAGCAGCUAGGCUUCUUCCGCAGAGCCAGUCUCUAGGAGUCCCCAGCCUCUCCUGGCCGCUCACGCACCGCACCGGAGGACAUUAGGCCGUCGUCCCAGACUGUCGCGGCGCAGUAAUUACCAUCCGCGGCCCUUCCCGCACGCUCUACGGCCACCAGAUGGUCGAAUCUGCCCAGAACCAAUGGUGCCCAGGAGUCUGACCAAGGAGGACCUACUGUGUGCAAGGGCCGUCACAGGGUUCUAAUUCACUACAUUGUUGGUGGGAAGACACAGCCCUGGACGGAUGGAUGCCAGAAGCCGGAGGAGUCCCUGCGACCUCCACCCAGGAAGAGACACUUAAAAACCUUGUCAGCAAGGUUACAAGGAUGUGGUCUUCCCUACCACAUGCACUCCAUUUGGGGUACAAUAUACAUACCUAGGAGACUUGGGGUCCCCAUCUUUGCACAGAAAUGCCCGAGCAUCUUCCACGGAUCCUCCUCGAAGAAGAAAACGGAUGCUCAGACACCAAGGAAGUUGGUCAGAGUCAGCUAUAGCGUCUCUGUUGGCCAUCACAGCUC
rnacentral:lncRNA from 1 species